rnacentral:rRNA from 1 species
ACGGAAGGCAGCAGUGGGGAAUAUUGCACAAUGGGGGAAACCCUGAUGCAGCAACGCCGCGUGAAGGAAGACGGUUUUCGGAUUGUAAACUUCUUUUCUUUGUGAAGAAACAAAUGACGGUAGCAAAGGAAUAAGCAUCGGCUAACUACGUGCCAGCAGCCGCGGUAAUACGUAGGAUGCAAGCGUUAUCCGGAUUUACUGGGUGUAAAGGGAGCGCAGGCGGGACUUCAAGUUGGAUGUGAAAUGUCAAGGCUUAACCAUGGCACUGCAUCCAAAACUGUAGUUCUUGAGUGGAGUAGAGGUAAGCGGAAUUCCGAGUGUAGCGGUGAAAUGCGUAGAUAUUCGGAGGAACACCAGUGGCGAAGGCGGCUUACUGGGCUCUAACUGACGCUGAGGCUCGAAAGUGUGGGGAGCAAACAGGAUUAGAUACCCUGGUA